GGAGGGUGUCCCAAAAGACACCCGCAAGGGUCAAAGGUAGCAGGUUGGCGUUGAUUGGGAUGAGUCUCGUCCUUGAGGUAGAACUGAGCGUUGAUUGGGAUGAGUCUCGUCCUUGAGGUAGAACUGAGCGUUUAUUGGGAUGAGUCUCGUCCUUGAGGUAGAACUGAGCGUUGAUUGGGAUGAGUCUCGUCCUUGAGGUAGAACUGAGCGUUGAUUGGGAUGAGUCUCGUCCUUGAGGUAGAACUGAGCGUUGAUUGGGAUGAGUCUCGUCCUUGAGGUAGAACUGAGCGUUGAUUGGGACGAGUCUUGUUCUUGAGGUAGAACUGAGCGUUUAUUGGGAUGAGUCUCGUCCUUGAGGUAGAACUGAGCGUUGAUUGGGAUGAGUCUCGUCCUUGAGGUAGAACUGAGCGUUGAUUGGGAUGAGUCUCGUCCUUGAGGUAGAACUGAACGUUGAUUGGAAUGAGUCUCGUCCUUGAGGUAGAACUGAGCGUUGAUUGGGAUGAGUCUCGUCCUUGAGGCAGAACUGAACGAUUUCUGCUAGAUAGGCAAACUGCAAAGUCUAAAUUGUCUUUAUUGUAAAAAUUACUGGGAAAAAAUGUAGUUUUUUGGUCUUAAUUUAAGGUUAGACAUUAAGGUUAGCAGUGUGGUUAAGGUUAGGGUUAGCAGUGUGGUUAAGGUUAGGGUUAGCAGUGUGGUUAGGGUUAGCA